GGGGACCCGCAAGCGGUGGAUGAUGUGGAUUAAUUCGAUGCAACGCGAAAAACCUUACCUACCCUUGACAUGUACGGAAGCCUGGAGAGAUCCGGGUGUGCUCGAAAGAGAGCCGUAACACAGGUGCUGCAUGGCUGUCGUCAGCUCGUGUCGUGAGAUGUUGGGUUAAGUCCCGCAACGAGCGCAACCCUUGUCAUUAGUUGCUACAUUCAGUUGAGCACUCUAAUGAGACUGCCGGUGACAAGCCGGAGGAAGGUGGGGAUGACGUCAAGUCCUCAUGGCCCUUAUGGGUAGGGCUUCACACGUCAUACAAUGGUACAUACAGAGGGCCGCCAACCCGCGAGGGGGAGCUAAUCCCAGAAAGUGUAUCGUAGUCCGGAUCGCAGUCUGCAACUCGACUGCGUGAAGUUGGAAUCGCUAGUAAUCGCGGAUCAGCAUGUCGCGGUGAAUACGUUCCCGGGUCUUGUACACACC
rnacentral:rRNA from 1 species